GGAGGCCGAGCUUGUAUUCAGAAUAGUCAGAGGCACAGAACCCAGAGAACAAAAUGCCAGCUUGUUACAGACAGGGCUGCUUGGGGAACAUGGCUUAGGCCGGCAGAGCUGAUCCCUGUGGCGCUGAAAACAGACAUCUAUAAGCCCAGCCCUCCCCUGAAGCUUGUCAGGGCUGUCUUCAGGUGCUUGCCCCGCUUGCAACCCUUCCUCCACUCUUACCAGUCAGCUCCAGCUCUGAUGGAGACCUCCCCUUUCCCAACAGAGGCACAAGCAGCUAUCUGCCCCCCCAACCCCCCCCCCAGGGUGGCGGUGAUCUUUCCUGAGGAAGCUAGUAGAAAUUCAAGUCAGAGAAAGAAAUAUGCUAGUUUUCCUUCCUUUUCAAAAAUCAUUGUAGAAAUGCAAGCCACCUUCAGUGCAGGCUCUCAUCUUAACUAGCAUCAUAUGAUGGUGUGCAUCCCUUCAGCCUCAUGAGUGUUAAACAACAUUGAGGGCAUACUUAAUGAACAAGUUUCUAUUUGGCUUUCUCCAAAUCUCUGUGUGAAGUAUCUGAGCGUGCCCAUGAAGCUGCAUGCAGCACAAAGAGAGGAUUCACGCCUUCUUGGUCAUUGUAGAUUCCCGUGGCUGAGCACCCAUGUUGUGUGCUUAAAAAGAUAUAAUAGUCAUAGGUAAUACUGAUUUGUAGGUAUCAAAGCACAUCAUUUAAUUGCCUCCUUUUCAUAAGUAAGUGCUGCAGUCACUUUAGUGAACCACAUCUUAUAGAAGGGAAGACUGAGGCACAGAGAGAUGACUUAGCACCCCUGCCCCAUACAUGUCUGAAUCUUCACUUAAGCAUGUGAAGAGCAUUUCUCCACUCCGCACGCACUUGAUUGAAACAUUGCAGUUUUCAUCAGACACCGGAGAGACAGCUUUUCUCCUACCCUAGGGAGGAUUAGGAGUCCAUCCUGGAUUGGUCCGUGCCACAGGAAUCCUGAACCAGCAUGGAUCCAAAAUGGUCUUGGGUCUGCUUUCCCUCGGACUGUGUUACCCAUGUCAUGCUCUUACAAACCAGCUGCCAGCAUCUGCCUCCAUCACAGAGGUCAAGCUUUCUCCAAGAUGACUUCCUGCCUGGCAGAACUGUUGUGGAAGAUCAUUCUCUGAUCAAUACGGCUGCUAUCUUCGGGAGGACUGGACCUGCUCACAAGGAAUUAUCAUAGGUGGGCUUUUGAUUCUUGAUAUUCCUUCUCUCAUGGAAAGAAGGGGUGGUGAUGAGGGUUAUGGGAUGGUCACCUGGGUAUCCAGUCUCCUCUCCCAACCAAUUCUGCUCUAAUUGCACGUGGCCUUGAGGUCUCGGGAAGGACUAGAGGAGGGGACCUCAUUUACACUGCCAAGAGUCAUCUCUGUUGGAUACAGACAGUCCAGAGAGGUGCUUUAAGGUCUCCUAUGCUCCUGCCUGUAA
rnacentral:lncRNA from 1 species